ACCGAUUUUCUCGUUUUCCCAACAUUUUCCCUCGGUAUUCCCGUGUUCUCUCCCGGUUUCUCACAUUUACCGGGAGAACUAUUGGGACAAUUGAAAAAUGACCUCCCCGAAGUACCCGAAGUACCCUAAAAAAAAACCCGGGAAAAAAAUUGUCGUCCCCGGUAAAAUAUAUUCCGAGAUUUCAAAUCCGUUUUCGUCGAAUUCGCGAAACGCCCUCUCUCGGCGGUCUCGCUUCGGGGAGGGUGGCGGGAAGAGGGGACGAAUCGUCUUAUUAUUCCGUACGGAGAAAAGACGAUAUUAUUAUUAUUAUUAUUAUUAUUGUUAUUCGUAUUCCUUAUAGAUAUUUUAAUACUUCCGAAUCAAUUGUGCGCAUUAUAUACGUACACACGCGUGCCGUCGUCGUCGUUUACACCACAUAACAUUAUGCACAAAUAUUUCGCCGACACAAAUAAGUCUUUGUAACGUUUCGUAUCGAUUGCGGGGUAACCUGCGACUCUAAAU